GACAGAGGCCUCAAGCGUUAGGCGGAAUCACUGGGCUUAAAGCGUGUGUAGGCGGAUCGUUAAGUGUCUUGUGAAAUCCCACGGCUCACCCGUGGAACGGCUGGGCAUACUGGCGAUCUUGGGCCAACUAGGGGCAACUGGAACAAGCGGUGGAGCGGUGAAAUGCGUAGAGAUCGGAAAGAACACCAAUGGCGAAAGCACUCUGCUGGGCCGACACUGACACUGAGAGACGAAAGCUAGGGGAGCGAAUGGG
rnacentral:rRNA from 1 species